UCACAAUCACAUAUUAUCCCAGUCACUAUUUCUCUCCAUUUCUCAUGAAAUAGGAGAAUAGCUGGAAGCUGACAGGGUCGAUACAUUGUUUAUAGUGGUGAGUUCGACAAUGCUCAAGGUUUUUACAUGUUUAAUAAGCUAACACCACUCAAGGUUUAAAGAUCAGAGGAAGUGGGGAUGGAUAGUCAGAGAGCGAGAAAUUGAAUAGGACGUUCGCCUGCACUAUGAUAAAUUUUUCUGACAACUUAUUACCUUACGCUGUCAAUAUUUGAUUAUUUUCUACAAAGUAAUAUGCAUCUUUAACUUUUAAAAAUUCAGUAUUUCCAUCUGUAUCAUUGACCAUACGGCUAAAAGGCAAUAUUCUCAUUCUAUAAUUAGUCUGGUCCAGAUUCAGUUGGGAUUUUUGUCAUCUCACAUAGUUACAGUGGAGUGGUAGCCCGAGCAUGUGGUCUUGCUAGUUUAGAACCAACAAAGGUAAACAUUUGUUAAUUUAGAAAUAUUACUGUUGCUCCGUUGCUAGUUUUGGUCCUUUUAUGAUUAAUGUAGAUGUUGUUACUUUUUUCUAACUAAAAUAUUUUACAGAUUGCUGAGAUCCUCAAAGAUCGAACUGCUUGGUUUCAGGACUGCUGAAACGUCUAAGUUUUCACAAUGUUUUUUGUAGGAAAUGGUGGUACAAUUGAGCUUUUAUAUACACAAGUGAGUACCUUCUCUUUAAUCUUUAUGUAGGCUUUUGAUUGGAUUAGCUUCAGUACUAAGGGGAUCAAUUAAAUCAUUUAUUUCGGAUAUAUGCUCCUACCACUCUGCCUCCUGCAUAUGAUUUUCGGACGCUCAGAUACACAGCCACCCUAGACAAUGGUAGCAUUGUGGUAAACAAUCCUUCACAUUAGUGUGAGCGACCUGGGCACUUUUAUACUUAGUUCUGAUAUUCCACAUUUAACUAGUCUUUAAACAUCUCAAUCCUUGGAUUGAAUAGGAGUCUAGAAUGUAAUAUGUUUGGGUCAUAUUUAACUAAAUGCUGCAUUAUAAUUUCCAUAUACACCUUUAAGGAUCUCGCUACUUCAGUAUGACACUUUGCUCUAUUGUUUGUGAUUCUUAGUAGUGAAUUCUAUUAGUUGUGCCAUCUCAUAUAUGUUGCUGAUAUUUUCUUUUAAUAAAUAAGUGCAUAGCACACUUUUUUUGCAGCUAGUGAACCAUUUUCCUUCAUGGAUGCAAAUUAUCCAGUGAUAAUUGUUGACGAGGCAACCGUUGGUGUCUUGUAAUCGUAUUAUAUAAUUAGUUUCGAUAAUGUUAUUGCAUGAUUGGAUCGGGUCACAAUGAUUAGAGUGGAUGAUGUGUUUAACAAUUGAACCGGGUAGUAAGGAUAAUAUAAAUGUAUUCAUGGUGGAGUUGAAUACAUUGUAUGGCAUAACUAAGCUCUCCCAACCAAUGAUAUGCAAACAAUUUUAUAUUAGCACUGUGAAGUUUCUCACUUAAUCUUUUUUCUUAAUUGUUGGCAGCAGUAUCAUUGUGGGAGUUCCUAACCCCGCAGUAUGUAAAAUAAAUCCCCGC
rnacentral:lncRNA from 1 species